rfam:Loxodonta africana unplaced genomic scaffold scaffold_108, whole genome shotgun sequence.
GGCUCCGUAGUUCAGGGGUUAGAGCACUGGUCUCGUAAACCAGGGGUCGUGAGUUCGAAUCUCACCGGAGCCU